rnacentral:rRNA from 1 species
UUGAAAGGGAAACGAUUGAAGUCAGUCGUACCAGCGGGAAAUCAACCUUUCGAGUGGGGGUUUUGGAGUUUUUUGAAGAGUGUCAAAACCUUUGAGAUUUCAAAAUUUUCGCUCUUUUGGUGUACUUUCUCGUGGGUAGGUUAACAUCGAUUUUGAUCAUCAUAAAAAGAUUGGAGGAAUGUAGCUUCGAUCUUGUAUUGAAGUGUUAUAGCCUUUGGUAAAUGUGAUGAUUAGGAUCGAGGAUUGCAACGAAUACCCUUUUGGGCUAUCCGCCUGAUCUCUGAUACGUGGCCUUGGUAUCGAAAGCGUGCUUAUGGUAUUGAGGUAUUACGGUCAAAAGGUUAGAACGGAUUACAUUCGUUAAGGAUGUUGACGUA